GAACUCACUUCAGCAGCACAUACACUAAAAUUGGAGUGAUUCAGAGAAGAUUAGCAUGGCCCUGCACAAGGAAAAACAGAAAAGAACUGUGACUAUUGACACCUUUUA